UUUAAAAGCCUUCUCCCAUGCCAAAAGGAGAAGUGAUGACAUUGUUGGCAAAGCAUAUAUACAAUGAUAUUUUCAUUCAAUCUUUGCAUUGUUAAACAUUUGUUUUCCCUUUGUUUUCACUUUUUGCUUUUCUUUAUGAAAUCAGUGAUCACAAAAAACCCAUAAAAACAAAAACAAAAAGCAAUAAAAGCAAACAUUUUUCAUCUGCAUAAUGAUUUGUUUGUUUAAAUUCUGAAGUUUUC
rnacentral:lncRNA from 1 species